UUGAAUUAAUCAAGAGUUAAUUACAAUUAGUCUUUAUAAGAAUUUUACUAACAAUAUUACAUAACUAACUCUAUUAAUAUUUAGUCCAACACUAUAAGCAAUGACUCUGGUCCGUAUAUAAUUGGCUCGUUAUCUAUGAUUGAAUUUUAUUGAAACUAUUGCGCAUUAGCCCUCCAGUUUCUUUUAUAUCCGAAACUCAAGUGUUGGGUAAAUUACUUGAACAGUAAACACUUAACAAUAAACUAAGUUCAGUUUAAUUAAAUUUACUAUCAGUUUAUUAAUUCUUUGAUUACUGUUUUAGUUCAAUUAAAACCUUUACUUCCGAGAUGUAGAAAUUAACAUCAUCAAGCUUUAUCGUAUGUAGAUAUAUGCUUAAUUUUAACAAACUUCUGUUUCUCAGAUUUUGCAACGAUUUGGGGAACUGGUGGCUCCGCCAUUGCCACGUUGAUAUGGAACAGGAAGUAGAAGAUGGAGGUAGAUGACUCCAACGAGAAAAAUCCUUAAGAUGGAAGCGCAUGGCCACAUGAUCUAGAGCUUCAGAUGCUCCUUAAGUAUCUGUUGUUAGUAUGAAUAAAGAAAGAAUUAAUUAGUUCAAUUAGUCAUCUUGUAUCUUUAAUUUUUAGUAUAAGUUUUAAAUUCUGUUUUGACUUUAUAUUAUUAAUGCAAUAUGUUGAAUGUAAAAAUACAAUCUAUUGAUCUAAUAGGAGCUAAUUCAAAAGAAAAUGGCUGAUUAAGGCUUAAGGAACUAAUUCAAUACAGGCUUCGUUUUGGGGAAAUCACGAUUUUGCUAGGGUUUAUAGAAUCCAAAACAAUACGUUUUAUGUAAGGAAUUUAUCAAAAGUACUCACCUAAGGUUAUUUUGGAGUUAAAAAUAACCAUCUAUAAUUUUUUAACCAUUUUAACCUUACAAUUAAAUCAAAUUUUUAAAAUAAAAACGAGAUUUUUUUGGGGGCAGAAAAACCCAAAACCCAUCGUCCAAAACGAUGGCUGGAUGCCAUCUAAGCAACAUCGCGGAUGGCAGGCUCAUUAUCAGGCUUCUCCGCAUCACUGCCGUUGAGGCCGUCGGCGCUCCAUCUUCCGCCUCACCUCCACGGGACCCCUCUUCGCGGGUUCCUCUCCAUGGGAAUAAAGAGGACGCCGCGCAAUCAUGAGAAUGGAGAUGGCAGGGGUGGUGCGAGGCGAGCCACAGUUAUCCAAGGCACGCUCAUGCCAAAUCCAAAUCAAACCCUUCUUCUUCUUCUUCAAACAAGGUUGCAGAAGUCAGUUCAAAAUUAGGCAGGGCCGGCAUGGUUAGGGUUGGGAAAUCAAUCUUCUGAAACACCUCCAACUUCCAAGACAGAAUCUUAAUUCUUAUAUAUACUUCAAAUAAAGCUGAUUUAAUUUCCAGAACACAUCUAUAAAUCCAAACCAAUCCCAGAAGAAUCAAACCCCGAAACAAAUCACUCCAUCAAGAAACAACAAAAACAUUAAAACAACUUUGAAAAGAGGUGGAAGACUUACAUAGCCAAGAAGAAGAAGAAGAAACCAGUCAACGACUCCACUCCCAAUCGGAAAAUCUGAAAUCUCCGUCCAAACCUAAUCUCUGUCGACUCUGAAAUCACAUAUCUCUCUGUUUCGACUACUCCUCAAUGAACACUCACUCGAAACGGGUUACCCAGUUUGGGUCACACCGACGGGUAUUAAUUCAAUUCUGUGACAGUUUGGGUCACUCGAAACGGCUUGGUGGUUGAUUUUUACCACAAAACCAUUAAGUGGGCCCUUCUGUGUCUAUCAGUCGUAAACCAAUUCAAUUCACUCAAUUGAUACUCCAUUAACAUGAUGGAUGACACAAGAGUGCAG
rnacentral:lncRNA from 1 species